rnacentral:rRNA from 1 species
GACGAACGUUGGCGGCGUGCUUAAUACAUGCAAGUCAACUGAAGCAGCGGUAGCAAUAUCGCUGUGGAGGUGGCGCACGGGUGAGUAACACGUAGGUAAUCUGCCUUCAGGUCUGGCAUAACUCCGGGAAACCGGGGCUAAUAGCAGAUGAUGCAGCGGCUCGACAUCGAGACAGUUGUUAAAGCUAUGGCGCCUGAAGAUGAGCCUGCGUCUGAUUAGCUAGUUGGCGGGGUAACGGCCCACCAAGGCAACGAUCAGUAGCUGGUCUGAGAGGAUGAUCAGCCACACUGGAACUGAGACACGGUCCAGACUCCUACGGGAGGCAGCAGUAAGGAAUAUUGCUCAAUGGGAGAAAUCCUGAAGCAGCAACGCCGCGUGAGGGACGAAGGGCUUUUGCUUGUAAACCUCUGUAGUGAGAGAAAAAAAUCCCAAUCUUUGGGACAUGAUGGUAUCUCAAAAGUAAGCCCCGGCUAACUACGU